GGGCGCAUAGCUCAGUUGGCAGAGCAGCUGACUCUUAAUCAGCGGGUCGCAGGUUCGAGCCCUGCUGCGCCCACCA
rnacentral:tRNA from 1 species